GACGAACGCUGGCGGCGUGGAUUAGGCAUGCAAGUCGAACGGUAUAAACCUUUCGGGGUUUAGAGAGUGGCGAACGGGUGAGUAACACGUAGGUAAUCUACCCUCAAAACGGGGACAACCCAGGGAAACUUGGGCUAAUACCGGAUGCGUGCAAGCAAUGUUUUGGCUGUUAAUGCUAUUCACGGAAGUGAGUAGUGUUAAUGGUUGAGAGCAUUAUUUGCAUAAAAGGUGGCAUAUGCUGCCGUUUGAGGAUGAGCCUGCGCCCUAUUAGUUAGUUGGUGAGGUAAUGGCUUACCAAGGCGAUGAUAGGUAGGCGGCCUUAACGGGUGGUCGCCCACACUGGGAUUGAGAGACGGCCCAGACUCCUACGGGAGGCAGCAGUCGAGAAUAGUCUACAAUGGACGGAAGUCUGAUAGUGCGACGCCGCGUGAACGAGAAUCCUUCGGGUGUAAGUUCUUUAUACGUGAGCAGUGCCCUUUAUAUGAAUAGUAUAGAGGGAGGAGUUUAAGCGU
rnacentral:rRNA from 1 species